GGGCCCGCACAAGCGGUGGAGUAUGUGGUUUAAUUCGAUGCAACGCGAAGAACCUUACCAGGGUUUGACAUCCUGCGAAUCUCUUGGAAACGAGAGAGUGCCUUCGGGAGCGCAGUGACAGGUGGUGCAUGGCUGUCGUCAGCUCGUGUCGUGAGAUGUUGGGUUAAGUCCCGCAACGAGCGCAACCCACGUCUUUAGUUGCCAGCAUUUAGUUGGGAACUCUAAAGAGACUGCCGGUGAUAAGCCGGAGGAAGGUGGGGACGACGUCAAGUCCUCAUGGCCCUUACGGGAUGGGCUACACACGUGCUACAAUGGCAGUGACAAUGGGUUAACCCCCAAAAACUGUCUCAGUUCGGAUUGGAGUCUGCAACUCGACUCCAUGAAGUCGGAAUCGCUAGUAAUCG
rnacentral:rRNA from 1 species